GACGAACGCUGGCGGCGUGCCUAAUACAUGCAAGUUGAGCGCUGAAGGUUGGUACUUGUACCAACUGGAUGAGCAGCGAACGGGUGAGUAACGCGUGGGGAAUCUGCCUUUGAGCGGGGGACAACAUUUGGAAACGAAUGCUAAUACCGCAUAAAAACUUUAAACACAAGUUUUAAGUUUGAAAGAUGCAAUUGCAUCACUCAAAGAUGAUCCCGCGUUGUAUUAGCUAGUUGGUGAGGUAAAGGCUCACCAAGGCGAUGAUACAUAGCCGACCUGAGAGGGUGAUCGGCCACAUUGGGACUGAGCCACGGCCCAAACUCCUACGGGAGGCAGCAGUAGGGAAUCUUCGGCAAUGGACGAAAGUCUGACCGAGCAACGCCGCGUGAGUGAAGAAGGUUUUCGGAUCGUAAAACUCUGUUGGUAGAGAAGAACGUUGGUGAGAGUGGAAAGCUCAUCAAGUGACGGUAACUACCCAGAAAGGGACGGCUAACUACGUG
rnacentral:rRNA from 1 species